UACAGAGGGUGCGAGCGUUAAUCGGAAUUACUGGGCGUAAAGCGCGCGUAGGCGGCUUUGCAAGUCGGGUGUGAAAUCCCCAGGCUUAACCUGGGAACUGCAUUCGAGACUGCAUUGCUAGAGUAUGGGAGAGGGAAGUGGAAUUUCCGGUGUAGCGGUGAAAUGCGUAGAUAUCUGGAGGAACACCGGUGGCGAAGGCGGGUCUCUGGGCCGAUACUGACGCUGAGGAGCGAAAGCGUGGGGAGCGAACAGG
rnacentral:rRNA from 1 species